UACGAAGGGGGCUAGCGUUGCUCGGAAUCACUGGGCGUAAAGCGCACGUAGGCGGAUUGUUAAGUCAGGGGUGAAAUCCUGGAGCUCAACUCCAGAACUGCCUUUGAUACUGGCGAUCUCGAGUCCGGGAGAGGUGGAGUGGAACUGCGAGUGAGAGGUGAAAUUCGUAGAUAUCGCAAGAACACCAGUGGCGAAGGCGGACUCACUG
rnacentral:rRNA from 1 species